GAUCAGAAACUGCAGGCGGAUUGCUCAGCGUGCGUCCCGAUAUGUCCCGGUAAGUGUAGUGACAUUAUUACAGUAAACACAUGGUGAGCGAAUUGGGCCAAAGACAAGCGUUUCCCGCGACUCACACACAUUAUCUGAAACAUUACUCUAGUGAGACCGUAACGUCACCGCGUUCAUACAAUCACUGCUGCUACAGGAGGCAGAUCAGGGAGAGGUGAUAGAGAUACGGGGCAAGUCAGGGUGACAGCAAGGAAUUCUAUGGUCAGGUUAGAGUUUAGGUUACGGUGAUGUUACGUGUAUGUACGUAGUGGGGAAUCGCGAUGCAGCCUAGCACAAAAACUAACCCCAUUCAACCCCCCAAUAACGACAGACCACUUAGUAGGGAUGAAACAGGCCACAUCAUUUAUUAUCACAAACUAAAUUACUACGUAACACAUCCAUAACUUUAUUUAUUAAAUCUCUUCUUUCUGUAACCAAAAACGUUAGACAUAAAUAAGCAUAAAUUAACAUAUAUACAUAUAUAACUCCACCCAUAGUGUUAUACAGUGACCCAACCGUCCUUGCCAAUAAACAUACAGUGGUUCCUAAUCACCACUUCCUCUCACCUCCCCCUCGUCAUAAAAAUCAUAUCUUUCCAAUGCCCGUCAUCAGCCGACCUUAUCCACGCUCGAUGGGCACGACACCUCAGGCAACCUAAUGUUAAUCGUUUGAAGCAGGGGAGGUUGAGACCUUAAAAACUUGUUCAUCUCAUUCCAUAUACUUAAACGUAACCCCUCAAACUCAAUUGGCAAGGACAUACCCACGGCUAGCUGUGACUAAAUAUACUAAUUGGGCGGGUGGGAGGGAAGCUGUUUGCUGGCCCGAAUCCCAAGUGGCACUGAGGAAAGACCUCCCCCACACUAACUUACACAGAACAUAAUCCCACCCACACACUCUUUCCCAUCCAAUCCCAUGCAUCUAUCCCCACACUCCUACAUGUGCCCUUGUCCGCUUAGCUGCGCUAUCUCCCCAGGGCCUGCAUGUCUGGGAAACGUAUUAACGUCCGUAGUGUCUCUUUAAUUAUCAUCAUCAUCAUCAGUGCUCUCUCUUUCGUCUCCUCUUUCUAUGUCUCUGUCUAUAUAACUGUCUCACUCUUUGUAUGUCUCUCUAUGUGACUUUCUCUAUGUCCCUCUCUCUUUCUGUCUAUGUGACUGGCUCUCUGUGACUGUCUGUCAUGAUUCUGAGAAGGUCAGAGAGGAGACGUAUGCCAGGGUUGCCUUUAGGUACUUUAUUUGUGCUAUACUCAAAAAAUUAGAAUAUCGUGCAAAAGUUCGUUUAUUUCAGUAAUGCAACGUAAAAGGGGAAACUAAUAUAUGAGAUAGACGCAUGACAUGCAAAGCAAGAUAGUUCAAGCCGUGAUUUGUCAUAAGUGCGCACUGCUUCAGUAGCGGCCUUCAGAUCUUCUGCAUUGUUCGGUCUCAUGUCUCUCAUCUUUCUCUUGGCAAUGCCCCAUAGAUUCUCCAUGGGGUUCAGGUCAGGCGAGUUUGCUGGCCAAUCAAGCACAGUAAUCCCACGGUCAUUGAACCAGGCUUUGGUGCUUUUGGCAGUGUGGGCAGGAGCCAAGUCCUGCUGGAAAAUGAAGUCAGCAUCCCCAUAAAGAUCAUCUGCGGAAGGAAGCAUGAAGUGCUACAAAAUCUCCUGGUAGACGGCUGCGUUGACUCUGGACUUAAUGAAGCACAGUGGACCAACACCAGCAGAUGACAUGGCUCCCCAAAUCAACACAGACUGUGGAAACUUCACACUGGACUUCAAGCAUCUUGCAGUGUGUGCCUCUCCAUUCUUCCUCCAGACUCUGGGUCAUUGGUUUCCAAAUGAGGUGCAAAAGUUGCUCUCAUCAGAAAAGAGGACUUUGGACCUGUUUUUCUUUAGUCCAGGUAAGACGCUUCAGACAUGGUUUGUUGAUCAGGAACAGCUUGACAAGAGGAAUACGACAUCUGAAGCCCAUGUCCAGGAUCCGUCUGUGUGUGAUGGCUCUUGAUGCACUGCCUCCAGCCUCAGUCCACUCCUUGUGAAAGUCCCCAACACUUUUGAAUGGCCUUUUCCUGACAAUCCUCUCCAGGCUGUAGUCAUCCCUGCUGCUUGUGCACCCUUUUCUUCCACUCUUUUCCCUUCCACAUAACUUUCUAUUAAUGUGCUUUGAUACAGCACUUUGGGAACAUCCAACUUCCUUUGCAAUUACCUUUUGAGGCUUUCCCUCCUUAUGGAGGGUGUCAAUGAUGGUUUUCUGCACAACUGUCAGGUCAGCAGUCUUCCCCAUGAUUGUGAUUCCUACUGAACCAGACUAAGAGACCAUUUAAAGGCUCAGAAACCCUUUGCAGGUGUUAUGGCUUACUGAGCUGAUUAGAGUGGGACACUGUGAGCCUAGAAUAUUGCACCUUUUCACAAUAUUCUAAUUUACUGAGAUUGUGGAUUUGGGGUUUUCAUGAGCUGUAAGCCAUAAUCAUCGCACUUAUGACAAAUCAUGGCUUGAACUACCUUGCUUUGCAUGUAAUGCGUCUAUCUCAUAUACAGGGCUGCCAUCAGAAAUUUUGGGGCCCUUGACACAGUUCAAAGUGUGGGCCCCCUGGGCCCGCCCCCGAGUCUGCCCCCGGGGGCCCAUUCUGAGUCCGCCCACAAGGAUGCCCUGUGUGGUGUGUAAAAUGGAUACAGAUUGCACAUUUGUAUAAUGGAUGUAUGGGGAAUGCAGUGUUUGUGUUGUGGUUUUAGUGUGUGUAAAUGUGUAAAAUAGGGGGCUGCAUUGGGGGGUGGGAGGGGAGCCUAUUUGGUGGCAUUUACAGGGAGUGGGGAGAUCGUAUCCCUGGUGGUCCGGUGGUAUAGUGGAGGGAGCCAGCCGCUGUAGAAUGUAGACGGGGACCAGCCAGCACAUCUUAACUUUCCAGCACCUCCUGCCUGUAACUCUCGCAAGCUGUGCCUGUUUGCCACGCGGAGCGUUGCCAUGGUAACCCGUGACAACGCUCUGCCAGGCCGCGGAGCUCGCGAGACUUACAGGCACAGGAGCUGCUGGAGAGUUAAGAUGUGCUGACUGGUCCCCGUCUACAUUCUACAGGUAGCCGGGGUCCGCAGGUGAACAUAUAGAUAGCGAUAAUCGCACAAAUGGAAUGUGGGGCCCGGGACUCCCAGAGCAGUCCGGGCCACCCAGGACCGCCGGGCCAAUGACAACCGUUAUGGUUGUCAUGCCCUGAUGGCGGCCCUGCUUAUAUAUUAGUUUCCCCUUUUGCGUUGCAUUACUGAAAUAAAUGAACUUUUGCACAAUAUUCUAAUUUUUCGAGUAUCACCUGUUAUAGAAAUUAUAGCAAAGGGAGAGAGAAAACCGAAAUAAAGGGAAUCAGGCAAUAUGCCCUAAAUAGAUUAAACAGGAAUGAAAGUAAAUAAUAAGAAAACCUACAGAUAAAAGUAUAGGUUAAAAUAGAAGGAAAAAUAACAAAACAAAUAGGUCGCAGGAUUAAUGGAAAUUUAGAAAUCUAGUUAAUCAGCCCUAAAUUUCGAGUAUUGAUCAAGGAGGAAAAUAACACCAAAUAAUAUUACUGUGAGACAGGGUCCAGAUUGGGGUUAUGCAGGCAGGUAUGGAGAAGACAAGAUAUAUGGAUAAGGCUGGUAGAAAUCAUGUGGGUAAAAUAAAGCAUAGUUCAGACUGGUAUUGAGCGGGGUUGGUAGUAAGCAGGAUUGAGGAGUAGUUCAGACUGGUAUUGAGCGGGGAUGGUAGUAAGCAGGUUUGAGUAGUAGUUCAGACUGGUAUUGAGCAGGGUUGGUAGUAAGCAGGAUUGAGGAGUAGUUCAGGCUGGCAUUGAGCACGGUUGGUAGUAAGCAGGAUUGAGGAGUAGUUCAGGCUGGUAUUGAGCUGGUUUGGUAGUAAGCAGGAUUGAGGAGUAGUUUAGGCUGGUAUUGAGCUGGUUUGGUAGUAAGCAGGAUUGAGGAGUAGUUCAGGCUGGUAUUGAGCUGGUUUGGUAGUAAGCAGGAUUGAGGAGUAGUUCAGGCUGGUAUUGAGCGGGGUUGGUAGUAAGCAGCAUUAAGGAGUAGUUCAGACUGGUAUUGAGCAGGGUUGGUAGUAAGCAGGAUAGAGUAGUAGUUCAGGCUGGUAUUGAGCUGGUUUGGUAGUAAGCAGGAUUGAGGAGUAGCCCAGGCUGGUAUUGAGCAGGGUUGGUAGUAAGCAGGAUUGAGGAGUAGUUCAGGCUGGUAUUGAGCAGGGUUGGUAGUAAGCAGGAUUGAGGAGUAGUUCAGGCUGGUAUUGAGCAGGGUUGGUAGUAAGCAGGAUUGAGGAGUAGUUCAGGCUGGCAUUGAGCAGGGUUGGUAGUAAGCAGGAUUGAGGAGUAGUUCAGGCUGGUAUUGAGCCGCUUGGUAGUAAGCAGGUUUGAGUAGUAGUUCAGACUGGUAUUGAGCAGGGUUGGUAGUAAGCAGGAUUGAGGAUUAGUUCAGGCUGGUAUUGAGCUGGUUUGGUAGUAAGCAGGAUUGAGGAGUAGUUCAGGCUGGUAUUGAGCACGGUUGGUAGUAAGCAGGAUUGGCGAGUAGUUCAGGCUGGUAUUGAGCAGGGUUGGUAGUAAGCAGGAUUGAGUAGUUCGGACUGGUAUUGAGCUGGUUUGGUAGUAAGCAGGAUUGAGGAGUAUUUCAGGCUGGUAUUGAGCAGGGUUGGUAGUAAGCAGGAUUGAGUAGUAGUUCAGACUAGUAUUGAGCAGGGUUGGUAGUAAGCAGGAUUGAGGAGUAGUUCAGGCUGGUAUUGAGCCGCUUGGUAGUAAGCAGGUUUGAGUAGUAGUUCAGGCUGGUAUUGAGCAGGUUUGGUACUAAGCAGGAUUGAGGAGUAGUUCAGGCUGGUAUUGAGCAGGGUUGGUAGUAAGCAGGAUUGAGGAGUAGUUCAGGCUGGUAUUGAGCAGGGCUGGUAGUAAGCAGGAUUGAGUAGUAGUUCAGGCUGGUAUUGAGCAGGUUUGGUAGUAAGCAGGAUUGAGGAGUAGUUCAGGCUGGUAUUGAGCAGGGUUGGUAGUAAGCAGGAUUGAGGAGUAGUUCAGACUGGUAUUGAGCAGGGUUGGUAGUAAGCAGGAUUGAGGAUUAGUUCAGGCUGGUAUUGAGCUGGUUUGGUAGUAAGCAGCAUUGAGGAGUAGUUCAGGCUGGCAUUGAGCACGGUUGGUAGUAAGCAGGAUUGGCGAGUAGUUCAGGCUGGUAUUGAGCAGGGUUGGUAAUAAGCAGGAUUGAGGAGUAGUUCGGACUGGUAUUGAGCAGGGUUGGUAGUAAGCAGGAUUGAGGAGUAGUUCGGACUGGUAUUGAGCUGGUUUGGUAGUAAGCAGGAUUGAGGAGUAGUUCAGGCUGGUAUUGAGCAGGGUUGGUAGUAAGCAGGAUAGAGUAGUAGUUCAGGCUGGUAUUGAGCAGGGUUGGUAGUAAGCAGGAUUGGGGAGUAGUUCAGGCUGGUAUUGAGCUGGUUUGGUAGUAAGCUGGAUUGAGGAGUAGUUCAGGCUGGUAUUGAGCAGGGUUGGUAGUAAGCAGGAUUGGCGAGUAGUUCAGGCUGGCCCAGGCAGGUUUGAGCACUGGCAAGUUGAGGUGGCCCUGAGCUGGUAUUGAGCAGGGUUGGUAGUAAGCAGGAUUGAGGAGUAGUUCAGGCUGGUAUUGAGCCGCUUGGUAGUAAGCAGGUUUGAGUAGUAGUUCAGACUAGUAUUGAGCAGGGUUGGUAGUAAGCAGGAUUUAGGAGUAGUUCAGACUAGUAUUGAGCAGGGUUGGUAGUAAGCAGCUUUGAGUAGUAGUUCAGGCUGGUAUUGAGCCGCUUGGUAGUAAGCAGGUUUGAGUAGUAGUUCAGGCUGGUAUUGAGCAGGUUUGGUACUAAGCAGGAUUGAGGAGUAGUUCAGGCUGGUAUUGAGCAGGGUUGGUAGUAAGCAGGAUUGAGGAGUAGUUCAGGCUGGUAUUGAGCAGGGUUGGAAGUGAGCAGGAUUGAGGAGUAGUUCAGGCUGGUAUUGAGCAGGGUUGGUAGGAAGCAGGAUUGAGGAGUAGUUCAGGCUGGCAUUGAGCAGGAUUGGUAGUAAGCAGGAUUGAGGAAGUAGUUCAGGCUGGUAUUGAGCAGGGUUGGUAGUAGCAGGGUGGCAGUAGUUCCAGGCUGUAGUAUUGAGCUGGUUUUGGUGGUAGUAAGCAGGAUUGAGGUAUUUCAGGCUGGUGGCAGGCAGGUUGGUAGUAAAGCAGGAUUGAGUAGUAGUUCAGACUGGUAUUGAGCAGGGUUGGUAGUAGCAGGGUGAGGAAGUAGUUCAGGCUGGUAUUGAGCGGCGGUAGUAAGCAGGUUUGAGUAGUAGUUCAGGCUGAAAGUAUUAGCAGGUUUGGUACUAAGCAGGUGAGGUAGUUCAGGCUGGUAUUGAGCAGGGUUGGUAGUAAGCAGGAUUGAGGAGUAGUUCAGGCUGGUAUUGAGCAGGGUUGGUAGUAAGCAGGAUUUAGGAGUAGUUCAGACUAGUAUUGAGCAGGGUUGGUAGUAAGCAGGAUUGAGGAGUAUUUCAGGCUGGUAUUGAGCUGGUUUGGUAGUAAGCAGGAUUGAGUAGUAGUUCAGACUAGUAUUGAGCAGGGUUGGUAGUAAGCAGCUUUGAGUAGUAGUUCAGGCUGGUAUUGAGCCGCUUGGUAGUAAGCAGGUUUGAGUAGUAGUUCAGGCUGGUAUUGAGCAGGUUUGGUACUAAGCAGGAUUGAGGAGUAGUUCAGGCUGGUAUUGAGCAGGGUUGGUAGUAAGCAGGAUUGAGGAGUAGUUCAGGCUGGUAUUGAGCAGGGUUGGACGUAAGCAGGAUUGAGGAGUAGUUCAGGCUGGUAUUGAGGAGGGUUGGUAGUAAGCAGGAUUGAGGAGUAGUUCAGGCUGGUAUUGAGCAGGGUUGGUAGUAAGCAGGAUUGAGGAGUAAUUCAGGCUGGUAUUGAGCAGGGUUGGAAGUAAGCAGGAUUGAGGAGUAGUUCAGGCUGGUAUUGAGCAGGGUUGGUAGUAAGCAGGAUUGAGGAGUAGUUCAGGCUGGUAUUGAGCUGGUUUGGUAGUAAGCUGGAUUGAGGAGUAGUUCAGGCUGGUAUUGAGCAGGGUUGGUAGUAAGCAGGAUUGGCGAGUAGUUCAGGCUGGUAUUGAGCUGGUUUGGUAGUAAGCAGGAUUGGGGAGUAGUUCAGGCUGGUAUUGAGCAAGGUUGGUAGUAAGCAGGAUUGAAUCAAAGAAGGUAAGUCCACAGGUUGGUUCACAGGAGCCAGGAUCUGAUGUGUUUCAGGAUGAGCAUCAUCUUCAAUGUAAAGGCCCUGUGCUGAGUUGGGUGUAGCCUUUUGUCGGUUGCUCAAUUAGUCUUGGUUGGUGAGGAUUAUAAGGGAAGUUUUCAGAACUAGAGCCAAGGGAGGUCACUAGUGGUCAAACAUAAUCAGUGCAGGAACUUGGGUUUAAAGGAACAGAAUAAACCGAACAAAAAGUCUUGUUUGUCAGGGUAGGAUCCGGACACUGUCUCUGUGACUGUCUCUCUCUGUCUCUGUGACUGUCUCUCUCUGUCUCUGUGACUGUCUCUGUAACUGUAUCUCUCUGUCUCUGUAACUGUCUGUCUUUCUGUGCCUGUCUCUCUCAGUCUCUGACUGUCUCUCUCAGUCUCUGACUGUCUCUCUUUCUAUCUGUCUGUGACUCUCCGUCUCUGUGACUGUCUCUCAGUCUCUUUGACUGUCUCUGUGCCUGUCUCUCUCUGACCCUCUUUCUAUCUCUCUGUCUCUCUCUCUGUCUCUCUCUUUCUCUGUAACUGUCUGUCUCUGUGACUGUCUCUGUCUCUCUAAGUCUCUGUGACUGUCUCUGUGCCUGUCUCUCUUUCUCUGUGCCUGCCUCUCUUGGUGUCUCUCUGUCUCUGUAACGGUCCGUCUCUGUCUCUCUCUUUCUAUCUCUCUGUGCCUCUUUCUAUCUCUCUGCCUGUCUCUGUGCCUCUCUCUCUCUCUCUCUCUGUGCCUGUCUCUCUCUGUCUCUGUGCCUGUCUUUCUCUGUCUCUGUGGCUGUCUCUCUUUCUAUCUCUCUGUCUCUCUCUGUCUCUUACUCUCUCUCUCUGUCUCUGUGCCUGUCUCUCUCUGUCUCUGACUGUCUCUCUCUGUCUCUCAGUAUAUUGUUUUCUCUCCUAGCUAGAGGUUUUGGGGUGCUUAGCAGAGAAGAAGUCUCGUUUGUGUCUGGAAUGGAGAAUAAGGUUUUACAGUUCCUGAGUGCGUCUCCAGUUGAUAAAGACGUGGAUCCUCAGAAUUCUUCCAGAAACAUCCUGUACAGCGAUAACAAACCAUAACCACUUUCCCAUGGCUGGCCGCAGUGUUUAUUGUAUUUAUAUGAGUUAUACGUCUUUCUAUUAGGAAUGUGAUAUAAACAUUCUGAUCAUUUAUCUCCCAAUGCCAGGAACAUGAUAAACCGAUCGCAUUGUCAUUUCUUAUUGGUUUCAUUCUAUAUUGUGUCAUGUGACAUACCGGGGCAGAUUCGCUAAACCGUGAAACACAGAGAAUUUACCAUAAACUCGCUGUGAUGGAAGAAUUUCCUCUAUAUUAUGUCUCUAUAAUCCCAGAUUAGUGAAAUGUAU